AUGAUCAGAGGGGAGGGAGCAGGCGGCACCGGGCCGGGCGGCCGGGAGCCGCCUCUAGGGGGGGUUCUCGGGGCCGCCUCGCCCCCCGCCGUGCCCGGAGAGCGGCCCUGGCCCCGGAGAGAUGGCAGCUGGGCGCUGCCGGCGCUCGAUGGCAGGAGUGCAGCCGUUCGGCUGGCCCCGGCGCCGAGAGGGUUAACGCUCCCACACCCCUCCUCUUCCAUGAGGUGCGCGGGGAGGAGACGGGAAGUGUGGCUUUCCCCGCGGCCGGGCCGCUGUGCGGGGCAGCGGCGGGCGGGGGGGGUCAGGCCCGGUCCCCCUUCUCGGUCCCGCUCCCUGCGGGGCAGCCCGUACGUGUGGGUCCCCGUCUGCCCCGAUUCGCCUGCCGAGUUUCUGGGAUUCGUGUUCCCGGGAGGGCGGUGUCACUGCGGGGGCAGCGAGACGGGGCUCGUGCGAGUGUCAGCGUGUGCGGGGGGCCGGAGGGAAAGCAGAGCUGCCCUGGUUGCUGAGCGGCUGCGAGAGCUCCGCUCGCUCAGAUUUCGCACUCCUAAGCAACUUUUUAGCUUUUGCACGAGAAAUCGGGGCGUGCGGCAAGCCUCUGCCGGUGUCCCGAAGAGCCAGCGGGAGGGAGAAGGCAGAAGGAAAAGAAUGGCAGCGCGACUGAUGAACCCACACGUCCUCUCCCAAGCCUGCGGGAGCCACUCCAAGGCGUGUGUGCGUGCUGCGAGCCUCGUGUGCGUGUGCAGGGGAGGCUGCGUGGGUGUGCGCGCCCCGGGGAGGGGGGGCCGUGCACUGAGUGCACCGUAA
rnacentral:lncRNA from 1 species